rnacentral:tRNA from 1 species
GGGAAUGUAGCUCAGGGGUAUAGUGCCUGCCUGGCGAGCAGGAAGUUUUGGGUUCCAUUCCUC